rnacentral:rRNA from 1 species
UACGUAGGCGGCAAGCGUUAUCCGGAUUUACUGGGUGUAAAGGGCAUGUAGGCGGGGAAGCAAGUCAGAUGUGAAAACCACGGGCUCAACCUGUGGCCUGCAUUUGAAACUGUUUUUCUUGAGUGCUGGAGAGGCAAUCGGAAUUCCGUGUGUAGCGGUGAUAUGCGUAGAUAUACGGAGGAACACCAGUGGCGAAGGCGGAUUGCUGGACAGUAACUGACGCUGAGGCGCGAAAGCGUGGGGAGCAAACAGG